rfam:Volvox carteri f. nagariensis unplaced genomic scaffold VOLCAscaffold_269, whole genome shotgun sequence.
GGGAGUUUGGUCUAGUGGCAUGAUUCUCGCUUAGGGUGCGAGAGGUCGUGGGUUCAAUUCCCGCAACUCCCC